rnacentral:rRNA from 1 species
UGCCAGCAGCCGCGGUAAUACAGAGGAUGCAAGCGUUAUCCGGAAUCACUGGGCGUAAAGCGCGCGUAGGCGGUUUAAUAAGUUGUAUGUGAAAGCCCUGGGCUCAACCUAGGAACUGCAUACAAAACUAUUAAGCUUGAGGACGAGAGAGGAGAGUAGAAUUUCAGGCGUAGCGGUGAAAUGCGUAGAUAUCUGAAGGAAUACCAAUGGCGAAGGCAGCUCUCUGGCUCGUUUCUGACGCUAAGGUGCGAAAGCGUGGGUAGCAAACAGGAUUAGAUA